UUCCAUCAGCUACAAAUGCCCCCAGU
rnacentral:piRNA from 1 species